UAUUGGUCAAUGGGCGCGAGCCUGAACCAGCCAAGUCGCGUGAGGGAGGACGGCCCUACGGGUUGUAAACCUCUUUUGCCGGGGAGCAACGGGCGUCACGUGUGGCGCCACUGAGAGUACUCGGAGAAAAAGCAUCGGCUAACUCCGUGCCAGCCGCCGCGGUAAUACGGAGGAUGCGAGCGUUAUCCGGAUUUAUUGGGUUUAAAGGGUGCGUAGGCGGAUCGUUAAGUCAGUGGUCAAAUUGAGGGGCUCAACCCCUUCCCGCCAUUGAAACUGGCGAUCUUGAGUGGAAGAGAAGUAUGCGGAAUGCGUGGUGUAGCGGUGAAAUGCAUAGAUAUCACGCAGAACCCCGAUUGCGAAGGCGGCAUACCGGCGCGCAACUGACGCUCAUGCACGAAAGCGUGGGUAUCGAACAGG
rnacentral:rRNA from 1 species